AGAGUUUGAUCCUGGCUCAGAACGAACGCUGGCGGCGUGGAUAAGACAUGCAAGUCGAACGCGACUUAUCGUGUUAGCAAUAACAUGGUGAGUUGAGUGGCGAAAGGGUGCGUAACACGUGGGAAUUUACCAAGAAGUGGGGAAUAGCUCGACGAAAGUCGAAUUAAUACCGCAUGUGAUCGAAAGAUCAAAGUCGGGGACCGCAAGGCCUGACGCUUUUUGAGAAGCCCGCGGCCCAUCAGCUAGUUGGCGAGGUAAAAGCUCACCGAGGCUAUGACGGGUAGCUGGUCUGAGAGGACGACCAGCCACACUGGAACUGAGACACGGUCCAGACACCUACGGGUGGCAGCAGUCGAGAAUUUUUCACAAUGGACGAAAGUCUGAUGGAGCGACGCCGCGUGGAGGAUGAAGGUUUUCGGAUUGUAAACUCCUGUCACUGCAGAACAAGGUAAUGCCAGUUAACAGCCGGCGUUAUUGAUGGUAUGCGGAGAGGAAGGGACGGCUAACUCUGUGCCAGCAGCCGCGGUAAGACAGAGGUCCCGAGCGUUGUUCGGAUUCAUUGGGCGUAAAGGGUGUGUAGGAGGUCGGGUAAGUCAGGUGUGAAAUCUCAGAGCUUAACUCUGAAACUGCGCUUGAUACUGCUCGGCUAGAGGAUCGGAGGGGGUAUCGGAAUUUAUGGUGUAGCAGUGAAAUGCGUAGAUAUCAUAAGGAACACCGGUGGCGAAGGCGGAUACCUGGAAGAUUCCUGACUCUGAAACACGAAAGCCAGGGGAGCAAACGGGAUUAGAUACCCUAGUAGUCC
rnacentral:rRNA from 1 species